rnacentral:lncRNA from 1 species
CCACAUCACUCUGUUUAGAAAUUAUAUAAAAUUUUCGGAUCUAAUUCUUGACUGCUGCAUCUUUGCAAGUUCUCAUAGUACCACUACAUCUCUCAUUUUCUUCAGAGAAAAAGUUCAUACUAGUUAGUUAUAAAACUAGUUUCUGAUAUAAUUUAUAAUGUGGCAUCUCAUGAGUGAUCUAAGCUUUUGUAAAUUAUAUUAAUCCCCUUGUACCACGUUGGAACCAGUUUAUUAACAGUAUUGCUCGGGCCUGCGGUUCAUUCUAUUGCUUCUUCCC